rnacentral:rRNA from 1 species
CGGGUCUAGUGGCGCACGGGUGCGUAACGCGUGGGAACCUGCCCUUAGGUUCGGAAUAACUCAGAGAAAUUUGAGCUAAUACGGGAUAAUGUCUUCGGACCAAAGAUUUAUCGCCUUUGGAUGGGCCCGCGUUGGAUUAACUAGUUGGUGGGGUAAAGGCCUACCAGGGCGACGAUCCAUAGCUGGUCUGAGAGGAUGAUCAGCCACGCUGGGACUGAGACACGGCCCAUACUCCUACGGGAGGCAGCAGUGGGGAAUAUUGGACAAUGGGCGAAAGCCUGAUCCAGCAAUGCCGCGUGAGUGAUGAACGCCUUAGGGUUGUAAAGCUCUUUUACCAGGGAUGAUAAUGACAGUACCUGGAGAAUAAGCUCCGGCUAACUCCGUGCCAGCAGCCGCGGUAAUACGGAGGGAGCUAGCGUUGUUCAGAAUUACUGGGCGUAAAGCGCACGUAGGCGGCUUUUUAAGUCAGGGGUGAAAUCCCGGGGCUCAACCCCGGAACUGCCUUUGAGA